rnacentral:rRNA from 1 species
GAAGAGAGAGUCAACAGGACGUGAAGCCAUCAGGGCCGAAGCGGAUGAAGCCGGCGAAACCGGCGGUCUUCAGGUGUGUGGGGUCGUGCGGCGGCGUUCGCGCGUGGCACGUGUUGUCGCGGCGGCGUCGUUUAGCGCGGCUUUGCGCUCUGCAUUUGCCGCGGGUACGCGUCGAGAGGCCUGCUCGCCUCCUCUUAACCGCCGUGUGUUGCCCUUCGCUUCGGCGUAGGUGUCUUGCGCGGCGGGGCGGUCGAUGGUGGGUAGGUUGUUGCCUUCGGCGGCUGACGAUUGCGCGGUGCGCGUCGCGGCGUGCGUCGUGCGUGAGCAGUGGCUUGCCACUCGCUUGCGAUUUCGGCGUACGUCGUGUGCGCGUGUCGCUACAGCUCGCUGUCUCGGCGUUAAAGUUGGUCACUCAUCCGACCCGUCUUGAAACACGGACCAAGAAGUCUAGCAUGUGCGCGAGUCAUUGGGCGUAAAAACCUAAAGGCGAAAUGAAAGUAAAGGCCGUCUUGGUGCGGCUGAUAUGGGAGCCGUGGUCGUGCGCGAUCGCGGUGCACCAUAGCCCCAUCCUCUGAGCUUGCUCUGGGGUGGCGGAAGAGCGUACAUGCUGGGACCCGAAAGAUGGUGAACUAUGCCUGAGCAGGAUGAAGUCAGAGGAAACUCUGAUGGAAGUCCGAAGCGGUUCUGACGUGCAAAUCGAUCGUCUGACUUGGGUAUAGGGGCGAAAGACUA